CCUACGGGUGGCAGCAGUGAGGAAUAUUGGUCAAUGGACGAGAGUCUGAACCAGCCAAGUCGCGUGAAGGAUGACUGCCCUAUGGGUUGUAAACUUCUUUUAUAUGGGAGUAAACUGUUCCACGUGUGGGAUUUUGUAUGUACCAUAUGAAUAAGGAUCGGCUAACUCCGUGCCAGCAGCCGCGGUAAUACGGAGGAUCCGAGCGUUAUCCGGAUUUAUUGGGUUUAAAGGGAGCGUAGGUGGAUUGUUAAGUCAGUUGUGAAAUUUUGCGGCUCAACCGUAAAAUUGCAGUUGAAACUGGGAGGCUUGAGUACAGUAGAGGUGGGCGGAAUGCGUGGUGUAGCGGUGAAAUGCGUAGAUAUCACGAAGAACUCCGAUUGCGAAGGCAGUUCACUGGACUGCAACUGACAUUGAGGCUCGAAAGUGUGGGUAGCAAACAGGAUUAGAUACCCUGGUAGUC
rnacentral:rRNA from 1 species